rnacentral:rRNA from 1 species
AGUGAUGAUUAUUGGAGGUAGAGCACUGUUUGGACGAGGGGCCCCUCUCGGGUUACCGAAUUCAGACAAACUCCGAAUGCCAAUCAAUUUAACUUGGGAGUCAGAACAUGGGUGAUAAGGUCCGUGUUCGAAAGGGAAACAGCCCAGACCACCAGCUAAGGUCCCAAAAUAUAUGUUAAGUGGAAAAGGAUGUGGCGUUGCCCAGACAACUAGGAUGUUGGCUUAGAAGCAGCCAUCAUUUAAAGAGUGCGUAAUAGCUCACUAGUCGAGUGACACUGCGCCGAAAAUGUACCGGGGCUAAACAUAUUACCGAAGCUGUGGAUUGUCCGUAGGACAGUGGUAGGAGAGCGUUCUAAGGGCGUUGAAGCAUGACCGUAAGGACGUGUGGAGCGCUUAGAAGUGAGAAUGCCGGUGUGAGUAGCGAAAGAUGGGUGAGAAUCCCAUCCACCGAUUGACUAAGGUUUCCAGAGGAAGGCUCGUCCGCUCUGGGUUAGUCGGGACCUAAGCCGAGGCCGACAGGCGUAGGCGAUGGAUAACAGGUUGAUAUUCCUGUACCACCUCAAUUCGUUUUAAGCGAUGGGGGGGACGCAGUAGGAUAGGCGAAGCGUGCUGUUGGAGUGCACGUCCAAGCAGUAAGGCCGAGUGGUAGGCAAAUCCGCCACUCAUCAAGCUGAGCUGUGAUGGGGAGAGGAAAUUGUUUCCUCGAGUCGUUGAUUUCACACUGCCGAGAAAAGCCUCUAGC